UUGAAUGUAAGAAAAAGGGACACAUCAGACCCAACUGUCCUCUUCUGAGGAAGAAGAAAGGAAAAACUGAAAAGUAUCGAAAGGCUCUUAAAGCUGAAACCUGGAGUGAUACAGAGUGUGAAGAAAGUGAUGAUGAUUAUGCCAAUAUAUGUCUGAUGGCACAAUCGGAUUCAGAUUCAAAUUCCGAGACAGAUUCAGAUUCAGA
rnacentral:lncRNA from 1 species